GAUGAACGCUGGCGGCGUGCUUAAUACAUGCAAGUCGAGCGAACGGACGAGGAGCUUGCUCCUCUGACGUUAGCGGCGGACGGGUGAGUAACACGUGGAUAACCUACCUAUAAGACUGGGAUAACUUCGGGAAACCGGAGCUAAUACCGGAUAAUAUAUUGAACCGCAUGGUUCAAUAGUGAAAGACGGUUUUGCUGUCACUUAUAGAUGGAUCCGCGCCGCAUUAGCUAGUUGGUAAGGUAACGGCUUACCAAGGCAACGAUGCGUAGCCGACCUGAGAGGGUGAUCGGCCACACUGGAACUGAGACACGGUCCAGACUCCUACGGGAGGCAGCAGUAGGGAAUCUUCCGCAAUGGGCGAAAGCCUGACGGAGCAACGCCGCGUGAGUGAUGAAGGUCUUCGGAUCGUAAAACUCUGUUAUUAGGGAAGAACAAAUGUGUAAGUAACUAUGCACGUCUUGACGGUACCUAAUCAGAAAGCCACGGCUAACUACGUG
rnacentral:rRNA from 1 species